UACGUAGGGGGCAAGCGUUGUCCGGAAUCAUUGGGCGUAAAGCGCGUGUAGGCGGCUCGAUAAGUCUGCUGUGAAAGUCCAGGGCUCAACCCUGGGAUGCCGGUGGAUACUGUCGGGCUUGAGUACGGAAGAGGCGAGUGGAAUUCCUGGUGUAGCGGUGAAAUGCGCAGAUAUCAGGAGGAACACCAAUUGCGAAGGCAGCUCGCUGGGACGUUACUGACGCUGAGACGCGAAAGCGUGGGGAGCAAACAGG
rnacentral:rRNA from 1 species